CUUGACAUCCAGAGAACUUGGCAGAGAUGCCUUGGUGCCUUCGGGAACUCUGAGACAGGUGCUGCAUGGCUGUCGUCAGCUCGUGUUGUGAAAUGUUGGGUUAACGUCCGCAACGAGCGCAACCCCUAUCCUUUGUUGCCAGCGAUUCGGUCGGGAACUCAAAGGAGACUGCCGGUGAUAAACCGGAGGAAGGUGGGGAUGACGUCAAGUCAUCAUGGCCCUUACGAGUAGGGCUACACACGUGCUACAAUGGCGCAUACAAAGAGAAGCGACCUCGCGAGAGCAAGCGGACCUCAUAAAGUGCGUCGUAGUCCGGAUCGGAGUCUGCAACUCGACUCCGUGAAGUCGGAAUCGCUAGUAAUCGUAGAUCAGAAUGCUACGGUGAAUACGUUCCCGGGCCUUGUACACACCGCCCGUCACACCAUGGGAGUGGGUUGCAAAAGAAGUAGAUAGCUUAACCUUCGGGAGGGCGUUUACCACUUUGUGAUUCAUGACUGGGGUGAAGUCGUAACAAGGUAAGCGUAGACGU
rnacentral:rRNA from 1 species